AUUCAGAGUAAUUUCAACGAAACAUGACCGACACGAAGAAAAGAGUUAGACCGAAAUCCUCAAAAGUUUGGCAGCAUUUCACGCUUCACAAAACAAAAAACACGCGUAACAUGCAAGCUUUACAAAAGUGAUAUGAUGUACGGGAGCACCACGAUGAUGAUGCAGCACCUGAAACGGAAACACGUUGGAGUCGCCGAUGAGGAUGAAGGAGCUCAACAGCAGGUGAACAAAUGAACCUGGAAAUGAGUGUUUUCUGACGAGGAAGUGGUUUGUUUUGAAACUUAGCGUGUUUUAAUCAGGGACCUGAGUUGUCCGGGUUGAACUGAGCUGUUUGUGGAGACUGUUGGUUCCGAUGGCUGUGGACUGGAUCGGACUGAGUUAUGCUGUUCUGGUGUCAGCUGGAGGAGUCCUGGGUUUCCUGAAAGCAGGCAGCCUCACCUCUCUGCUCGCUGGUCUGCUGUUUGGCCUGCUGGCUGCCGUCGGCUCUUAUCAGACGUCUCAGAACCCCAGGAAUGUGUGGCUUUCGCUGGUGACUGCAGGAACUCUGGCCGCCGUGAUGGGACUCCGGUUCCUGAACUCCUGGAAGUUCAUGCCGGCCGGUUUGAUGACUUUAGCGAGUGCACUGAUGCUGGUGAAGAUCAUCACUGGGAUGUUAAAGACGCGACCACACAAAACCUGAAUGCGGCAGAAGUCCUGACCCGCCUGUACAACACUGAACAAUAUUUAAUAAACCGACACCAGCAGGAACGUAGGUAGGUUCUGCUACCGAUGACCUCUGUAUUUGGCCGUCCAGUCGACCCGGCCGUGGACCGGCUGCAGGUUGGAGCUCCUGGAGAAGGAGGGUUUUAAGGCAGCAGGAACCUGAGGAUUCACAGACCUGCUCCUCUGUCCUCCUUCGUUCUCUGAGAGGAACAUAGAAGACAAGAAGUGUACCGAGGCUGCUUCUCUGUUAGUUUGGGAAGACUGACAUCUAGAACCACGACACGAGACAGAAAACCAGAAGGAGGAGUGAAAAAAUACGGCAAAGAGGGUGAGAAGUGAAAGUCAUGCAUGGACGAUCAAUAUAAUUUAGCAUUCGCAGCUUUUUACUGAGUGAUGGGUGACAAGAAAAAGAGAAUUAAUUGCUAUGACUGCAAAACUACAUCCAAUUGCCCUGCAGUUUAGAGUGCAGCAGGAUGUAGAUAUUCUGUCAGAGAUAAAUGUUGUCAUAAUUGGAGUUAUUGGAAGAACGUUCUUAUUUUGCAGAAUCUGAACGCUUCUCAUCACAAGACACAGUUUGUCAGUAAAACCUGAAUGUAAUAAUUACAUGAGUUUUACUGAGCUCCAACCAUCAGGUAGGGUUGGUUUCCUGCUUUCAUAUGACAGAGUUUAGCCUCUAAGAAGCAGAAAUCAUUUGAUGACACCACAGCUUGGAUGGAUUAGCCAGACAGACAGAGAAAUGUAAGAUAAGAUAAACUUUAUUCAUCCAACACCAGAUUAAUUCACAGUGUCUUGUGGAGACAGUUUCCUCUUUAAAAACUUAAGAGUUCUAACAUUAAUCCUCGGAUCCUCCUCACCUUUACCCAGAGGAAACUCCAGCCCCGGUGCUCUGCUGUUGCCCCACGUCUUUUUGCCCUGGCUUCCUGCUGCCAAGUUGCUUUUUGGAUUUACUCCUGAAAAAGAGAAACAGCUCAGGGUGAGUUUAGUGCACCAGAACCCACACACCAUAGAGCAGUUAAUUCAGUCUGACAUGCUGUUAAUGUAAUCCUGUUUAUUCUCAUCAUACUUUCAACCCAGUUUGGGAACUGAUUGAUAAAUCCUAGAGGAGGUUAAUAAAAAAAAGUCUAAAAAAAAUAAUAUAAACAGUAGGGAUGUCCGAUAUUGGCUUUUUUGCCGAUAACCGAUAUGCUGAUAUCGUCCAACUCUCAAUUUCUGAUUCCGAUAUCAACUGAUACCGAUAUCUGUGGGUUGUUUAACUAAUUUUAGGUAACAUCUCAUAUCUGCUGUGGUGGAAUUAACACAUCAUGCCUCAUUUUAUUGUGAUGCUCCAUUGGAUGCAUUCUCAGAUGCAACAAGGAUUUCAGAUGGAAACAUUGUCUGUAAAAUAAGAAAACUACUUUAAGUGAUGGAAAAAAAUGACAUAUUUAUGACAUUUUAUUUUCUUAUUAUUACUAUUAUUACUAUUAUUAUUAUUAUUAUUAUUAUUAUUAUUAUAACAGUUCACACUCUCCCUCACUCUAUGAGUCGGUAAAUGCCGGCGAAAACCAGGCGUUAAUUUAUCGGUUUUUAUAACAGACAAAAAAGACCCAAUAACAGUAUUGACAGAUAUUACAUUUUUAUGCCAAUAUCAGGCUGAUAAUAUCAGUGAGCCGAUAUUAUCAGAGAUCCCUAAUCAUUUCCUUGUUUUUUUUUUUUAUAAAUCUGUACUUUCUAGUUUUAUUGUUUUGUUGUUUUUUAGUUUUUGCUUUCAUACCGUAGAAGCUGGAUUUUGAGGGACAGGUAGCAUACUUGUCCUCACCAGGUACGUAUCUGGACUGGCGCAGGUAAUGCUGCUUGGCGGACAGCGUGGUGGAGUCGGUCCUGCUCAGCCCAGCAUUGCUUGGCAGCUUUGCUCCUGCGCUGGUCUUUGGCUCUGAAGAUCUACAUAAACACUGAUUAUUGCAUUUGUUCAGAACUCUAACAGAGACACUUUUUACUUGACGAUGAAGUUCUCUCACCGAUCCAGAGCCCUGUUCUUCAGAGACGUGAUCGUGGGUUUCUUAGAGAUGGAAACUCCGGCGUCUGCGUCGUCCCCGUCGUCCCAGCUGUCCACCGACUUGAAGGACGUCUGGCCCCAUCGUCGCCGUCCUGUCCGAGUCACAGAUACGCUGUUCUCUGCUCCAGAGGCAGCUCCUCGCUGGCAAAGAAAGAGCGUCUCCGUUAUUCUCAUGCACGGUACAAAUGAACAAAUAAUAACCUAGCAUUAGUCGAUUGUAGUCUUGCUGAAGGGGAGACUAAGUACCAAAUCAUGGGCCAGAGUCUAAGACUUGACCAUGUUCAAAUGCUUAGGAUCUUCUAAAAAUCACCAGGGGAAGUCAGCAUUCUGAGGCAGCAGAAUUUAUUGUCGACAUAAACCCAGGAGUAGCUCUUAGCAGUGAUUAUCACCCUAAGAAAAACCAGAGAUACUGAGCUGUGCUUCGUCUUUUAAACUGUGAGCGUUGGUCAUUUUUCCACGCCUGUGUUCUCCACAGACACAUCCCACACCAUCAAACACCAGUCAUUACUGGAAUAUUCAUCAUUAUGUAUUUUAUACGUUUUAACUCUGGUCUUCAGUCUAGUAGCAUUUGCCAUAAUUCUAUCAUCUUUUACUUUUAGCACAGCAAAGCUAUGAAAAAGUUGAAGUCAAAAUGUCUCAAAACUCAAACCUAAAAUGAGCGACAUUGUCCUAAAUGAUGGAGACAAAAUGAAGUUUUCAUUCUUUACCUGACCGACAGUCUUAAAGCUCCCUGGCUGCCUGUUCUUCACCAGGCUCAGAGGUUCUUGUUGGGCUUCUGUCAGAGCACUGGGACACAUCAGUUGGUGUACAUUGGGCUCCAUGUUCUCCUGAGGAAGGUUGAUCUGCUGCAGAGGCUGAUGGAGCGACUGGCUGCAGGUCUGUGGUUCUGGUCGGGGCUUGUUAAGUUCACAGGAGUCCAGAUCAGUCUUACAGAGGGACAGCGGCUUCAGGUCUGGAGCUGCUUCAGACGCCUUUUCCUGGUUCCUGUGCUGCUCUGAGGACUUCAGAGGACCACCGAGGGACUGGCCGACAUGGAAGUAGGGAUAUCUGAGAGCCUGGAAACACGGCCAGUACAAAACCAAGAAAAUAUCAGCAAGAUUUGUGCAUGGAAUAAGUGGCACAAUACAAUAAAUGAAGUACAAGAAGAGCAUACAGAAAAACAUGACACAAUUAUUUUAACCCUCCUAUUGUCCUCAUUUACAUGCACCAAAAAAUAUUGUUUCCUUGUCUGAAAAAAAUCCAAAAAUUUAGCAAAAAAAUUCCCCAAAUUUCUGAAAAUUUGCAAAACCUCCAGGAAGAAUAAUUCCUGAAGUUUCCCUAAAGGUUUCAUUUUAAAAAAAUCCCCCAAAUUUGGUAAGAAAAUUCUUGUAAAUAUUUCUAAAAAAUGAGUAAAAAUCUUCCAAAAAAUCCUAAAAAUAUCUAAAGUGAUUCCAUAUAUAUCAGUAAAACUUCUAAUAUUUUCUUUAAGAACAUUCACAUAAAAAUUAACCAAAAUCCAGUGAAAUUUGCUGGACUUUGGUUGAUUAUUUGUGAAUAUUCUUAAAGAAACAUUUUUUAUAUAUUUCCUUUUUCCACCAAAAUGUGACAAAAUUUUGAAAAUGUGGACAUCAGAAAUUUCACAGUGAAAAUAUAUUUUUUCCCCCACAUUUUCAAACUUUAAAUUUGCAAAACCUUAAGUAGAAAAAUUCCAAAAAUUCCUUGAGAAGUGAGCAAAAAUCUUUCAAAAAAACCCCCUAAAAAUAUCUAAUGAUAACAAACAUAUCAGUAAAACUUCUAAUAUAUUCUUGAAGAACAUUCACAUAAGUUUCACUGUGAAUUUUUAAUUUUUUCUCCACAUUUUCAAACUUUAAACCAGGUCAAUUUUGACCCGCAGGACAACACGAGGGUUAAUAAAACAUAGAAAUUAAGAGCUGAAAAUAACAUAGAAACAAUGGGAUGUGUUGUUUUUGUCCCCAUUUGUCUCAGAAACCUUGAAUUGUUCAUGAACUGCCUCAGAACAUCCACAUGUCAGGUUUGGUUUUACAUUAAGCUGAUUGAUCCCACUUGGACCACUGCUGCUAAGAAUAGAUGCACUCGAGGUACUUAAAGGAUCUCGGGAUGAAAGCGUUCACCCAAAGGACUUGUGUCUGGAAACAGUGUCACCUCAGCGUGAGCCAGUCUGUCUGCUCGUUCUAAUCUGUGUGAAAACUCAGCAGGUUUUAAACAUACCUGAGCAGCACUCGGCCUUUUCUCAGGGUCCCACUGCAGCAUGUCUUUCAUCAGAGCGAUCGCCUCGUUGCUGGCGUUGGGAAUCAGCGACCUGAGGCUGGUGGGGGCGUACUUUGGGAAGCGGAAGUUCAUGGAUGUGGCCAGGUUGUAGCCCUCAGGCCAGUCAGACUGAUGGGAAUAAGAAUAACUUCAUUUGUAUAGCACCUUUAAGAAGAACAUUCACAAUGUGCUUUGACAGGUAGAACAGAAAAAAAAUGACAAAAAUGUACAGAAUGGAUAGCUGAUUGACCCUCCUGUUGUCCUCAUUUAUGGGCACCAAAAAUAUUGUUUCCUUUCUGAAAAAAAUCCAAAAAAAUCUGCAAAAAAAUUCCUCAAAUUCCUUCUGAAAAUUUGCAAAACCUUCAGGAAGAAAAUGCCAAUAAUUCCGUCAAAGUUUUCCUUGAAAGUUUGAUUUUAAAAAAUCCCCCAAAUUUGGCAAGAAAAUUCUUGUAAAUAUUUUCAAAAAAUAAGUAAAAAUCUUCCAAAAAAUCCUAAAAAUAUCCAAAGUGAUUCCAUAUAUAUCAGUAAAACUUCUAAGAUUUUCUUUAAGAACAUUCACAUAAAAAUCAACUAAAAUCCAGUGAAAUUCACUGGAUUUUGGUAGAUUUUUAUGUGAAUGUUCAUAAGAAACAUUUUUAACAUUUCUUUUUUUCCACCAAAAAAUGUUUCACUGUGAAAAUAUAUUUUAUUCCACAUUUUCAAACUUUACAAUGGAUCAAUUUUGACCCGCAGGAUGACACGAGGGUUAAAAUAUAGCCAGAGGCAAGCGUUAUCGAGCUUUAAAAGUGAUCCGUAGAACCGUAAAAUCAAUUCUAAAAUGGACAGGGAGCCGAUGAAGACAAUCCAGAACAGGGGAGAUGUGAUGUCAUCUGUUAAAACCAGGAAGAAGCCUCAGAUUGAUGCGGUGAGAGUCAGAAUUAAUAUUUUACUUUGGAGAAUGUCUUGAGAAGAACGUAAUGAACUGAGUUUAGCUAUAGCAGAACCACAGCAUGACGCCUUGUGACGGCUCCUCACCUUCUUCAGUGUUCCCAGCACCUGGCAGAUCUUGAAGAUCUCAUCCACCUCGCUGUUUCCCGGGAACAGCGGUCUGAGGGUGUACAGCUCCGCCAUGAUGCAGCCGACGGCCCAGAUGUCGAUGGGAGAGCUGUAGGAGCUGGACUUGAGCAGAACCUCUGGGGCUCGGUACCUGACAGAACAGCACAGAAGAACAGAAAGAGAACGUUGGCAAGUAGUGGUUUAACUUUAUUGUUGUGCAAAUCCCUCCUUCUUGGCUCAAUAACUGUUUAUAUGCUGCUUUUUGUUGAAGAAAUUUCACUCUUACACUGGAAAAAAUGCCCCUCAGCAAAAUUCGCUGGAUUUUGGUUGAUUUUUUUGUAAAUGUUCUUAAGAAACAUUUUUAACAUUUCUUUUUUCCACCAAAAAAUGUUCAAAAAUUUCCCAAAAAUGUUGAAAAUGUGGACAUCAGAAAUUUCACUGUGAAAAUUAUUUUUUUCCCACAUUUUCAAACUUUAAAACGGGUCGAUUUUGACCUGCAGGAUGACACGAGAGUUAAACUUAUUUUGAGUUUUCUUGUAAAAUUCAAGUCAAAACAAGAUAAUUUCCAGAUUGUUUGACUUAACAAGAUGUUUAAGAUGCAUUGUCUUAAAACAAGUCACUCCAUCUGCUGAAAUGUCUCUUGUUAAGUGAAUUUAUCUUAAAUCAAGUGGGAUGAGACAUUUUGACUAAAAAUAAGACAAAUAGACUUGGUAAGAUUUUGAGUUCAUCCAUCCAUCCAUCCAUCCAUCCAUCCAUCCAUCCAUCCAUCCAUCCAUCAAUCCAUCCAUCCGUCCAUCCAUCCAUGCCUCUCUUCAAAUCCAGACCCAAAACUCAUCUGUUCAAGACUAUUUAUGCUCUCUAACUGCCUCUUUCUUCAUGUAGGUUUUUUUUUUUUUAAUCUUUUUGUAUGGUUCGUUGUAUUUUGUUUUUCCUGUAAAGUGACCUUGGAUGUCAAAAAAGGUGCUUACAAAUAAAAUCUAUCUGUCUGUCUGUC